rnacentral:rRNA from 1 species
GACGAACGCUGGCGGCGUGCUUAACACAUGCAAGUCGAACGGUGAAGGGGCCUGCUUUUGUGGGCCCUGGAUGAGUGGCGAACGGGUGAGUAACACGUGAGUAACCUGCCCCCUUCUUCUGGAUAACCGCAUGAAAGUGUGGCUAAUACGGGAUAUUCUGGGUCUGUCGCAUGAUGGGUCUGGGAAAGCUUGCGCCUUUGGGUGUUUUUGGUGGGGGAUGGGCUCGCGGCCUAUCAGCUUGUUGGUGGGGUGAUGGCCUACCAAGGCGGUGACGGGUAGCCGGCCUGAGAGGGUGGACGGUCACACUGGGACUGAGACACGGCCCAGACUCCUACGGGAGGCGGCAGUGGGGAAUAUUGAACAAUGGGCGCAAGCCUGAUGCAGCGACGCCGCGUGAGGGAUGGAGGCCUUCGGGUUGUAAACCUCUUUCGCCAGUGAAGCAGGCCUGCUCCUUGUGGGUGGGUUGACGGUAGCUGGAUAAGAAGCGCCGGCUAACUACGUG